AUUGAACGCUGGCGGCAUGAUUUACACAUGCAAGUCGAACGGUACAGGCCGCAAGGUGCUGACGAGUGGCGAACGGGUGAGUAAUGCAUCGGAACGUGCCCAGUCGUGGGGGAUAACUACUCGAAAGAGUAGCUAAUACCGCAUACGAUCUAUGGAUGAAAGCGGGGGACCGUAAGGCCUCGCGCGAUUGGAGCGGCCGAUGUCAGAUUAGGUAGUUGGUGGGGUAAAGGCUCACCAAGCCAACGAUCUGUAGCUGGUCUGAGAGGACGACCAGCCACACUGGGACUGAGACACGGCCCAGACUCCUACGGGAGGCAGCAGUGGGGAAUUUUGGACAAUGGGCGCAAGCCUGAUCCAGCAAUGCCGCGUGCAGGAAGAAGGCCUUCGGGUUGUAAACUGCUUUUGUACGGAACGAAACGGCUCUGGUUAAUACCCGGGGCUAAUGACGGUACCGUAAGAAUAAGCACCGGCUAACUACGUG
rnacentral:rRNA from 1 species